rnacentral:rRNA from 1 species
GACGAACGCUGGCGGCGUGCCUAAUACAUGCAAGUUGAGCGCUGAAGGUUGGUACUUGUACCGACUGGAUGAGCAGCGAACGGGUGAGUAACGCGUGGGGAAUCUGCCUUUGAGCGGGGGACAACAUUUGGAAACGAAUGCUAAUACCGCAUAAAAACUUUAAACACAAGCUUUAAGUUUGAAAGAUGCAAUUGCAUCACUCAAAGAUGAUCCCGCGUUGUAUUAGCUAGUUGGUGAGGUAAAGGCUCACCAAGGCGAUGAUACAUAGCCGACCUGAGAGGGUGAUCGGCCACAUUGGGACUGAGACACGGCCCAAACUCCUACGGGAGGCAGCAGUAGGGAAUCUUCGGCAAUGGACGAAAGUCUGACCGAGCAACGCCGCGUGAGUGAAGAAGGUUUUCGGAUCGUAAAACUCUGUUGGUAGAGAAGAACGUUGGUGAGAGUGGAAAGCUCAUCAAGUGACGGUAACUACCCAGAAAGGGACGGCUAACUACGU